rnacentral:rRNA from 1 species
GACGAACGCUGGCGGCGUGCUUAACACAUGCAAGUCGAGCGGAAAGGCCACUUCGGUGGUACUCGAGCGGCGAACGGGUGCGUAACACGUGAGUAAUCUGCCCUUGGCUUUGGGAUAGCCACCGGAAACGGUGAUUAAUACCGGAUACGACCACUCCAGGCAUCUGGUGGUGGUGGAAAGUUUUUCGGCCAGGGAUGUGCUCGCGGCCUAUCAGCUUGAUGGUGAGGUAAUGGCUCACCAUGGCUUCGACGGGUAGCCGGCCUGAGAGGGUGACCGGUCACACUGGGACUGAGACACGGCCCAGACUCCUACGGGAGGCAGCAGUGGGGAAUAUUGGACAAUGGGCGGAAGCCUGAUCCAGCAACGCCGCGUGAGGGAUGACGGCCUUCGGGUUGUAAACCUCUUUCGGUAGGGACGAAGCGCAAGUGACGGUACCUACUAAAGAAGCACCGGCCAACUACGUG